rnacentral:rRNA from 1 species
GAUGAACGCUGGCGGCGCGCCUAACACAUGCAAGUCGAACGAUUAAACCGCCCUUGGGCGGAUAUACAGUGGCGAACGGGUGAGUAACGCGUGACCAACCUUCCCCCCGCAUCGGGACAACCCGGGGAAACCCGGGCUAAUACCGGAUAUGCCGGGUAUGGCGCAUGUCAUACCCAGGAAAGCUUUUGCGGCGGGGGAUGGGGUCGCGUCCCAUCAGGUAGACGGCGGGGUAGUAGCCCACCGUGCCAACGACGGGUAGCCGGGUUGAGAGACCGACCGGCCACAUUGGGACUGAGAUACGGCCCAGACUCCUACGGGAGGCAGCAGUGGGGAAUCUUGCGCAAUGGGGGAAACCCUGACGCAGCGACGCCGCGUGCGGGAUGGAGGCCUUCGGGCCGUGAACCGCUUUCAGCAGGGAAGACAUUAAGGACGUACCUGCAGAAGAGCCCC